CAGCAGUAGCCACGGGAAUACGAAGGGUGCAAGCGUUACUCGGAAUUACUGGGCGUAAAGCGUGCGUAGGUGGUGGUUUAAGUCCGUUGUGAAAGCCCUGGGCUCAACCUGGGAAUUGCAGUGGAUACUGGGUCACUAGAGUGUGGUAGAGGAUAGUGGAAUUUCCGGUGUAGCAGUGAAAUGCGUAGAGAUCGGAAGGAACAUCUGUGGCGAAGGCGACUAUCUGGGCCAACACUGACACUGAGGCACGAAAGCGUGGGGAGCAAACAGGAUUAGAUACCCCUGUAGUCCCUGUCUCUUAUAC
rnacentral:rRNA from 1 species